rnacentral:lncRNA from 1 species
UUCCUUUUUAAGAGCUCGUCCACAAUAACAAUAUCUAUAUCUAUAUCUAUACCUAUACAUUAUUUCCCAUAAAGUCUUGUCACGUGGCGAUCCUUCCUUUAUCCUUACCUUCUCUUCUCUUCUCUAAUCAGAACCCGCAUUCUUCAUCUCCCCACCAAGGAAUUACUAACGCAUCAUUAAUUUUAAUAAUUAUGAUCUUAAACCCACACUCUUCAUCUCCCCACCAAGAAGUUACUAACGCAUCAUUAAUUUUAAUAAUUACGAUGAUUCACACAAUUAGCACUACUAAAACCCCAUCAUCAUCAUCUCCUUAUUCUCCGAAACCAAAUACCACACUCCAACAAUGUCCUAUGUUACAAACCAACUCUUCUUUCUAUUAUUCUUAUUAUUAUUCUCGAACGCGAGUACGAACCCGUCAACGCCAUUCGGGUCGAGCCAUGAUUGUUCGGGCGCGUUGUUUGGGUUCAGCGAAUGCUUAGAGUUUGUGGAGAGCGGGGCGAACGGGGCCGUAUCGGGGU